rnacentral:rRNA from 1 species
ACUCAAAUGAAUUGACGGGGGCCCGCACAAGCGGUGGAGCAUGGGGUUUAAUUCGUCACUAACCGAAGAACCUUACCCAGACUUGACAUCCCUGGACCGCCGGUGAAAGCCGGUUUCCUCGCAAGAGGCCAGGAGACAGGUGUUGCAUGGCUGUCGUCAGCUCGUGUCGUGAGAUGUUGGGUUAAGUCCCGCAACGAGCGCAACCCUCACUGUAUGUUGCUAGCGGAAACGCGCACUCAUGCGGAACUGCCGGGGUAACCCGGAGGAAGGCGGGGAUGACGUCAAGUCGGCAUGGCCCUUACGUCUGGGGCUACACCCAUGCUACAAUGGAUCGGACAGAGGGCUGCAAGACCGCGAGGUGGAGCGAAUCCCAAAAACCGGUCCCCAAUUGGAAUUGGAGUCUGCAACUCGACUCCAUGAACGUGGAAUCGCUAGUAAACGCCGGUCAGCAAAACGGCGUUGAAUCCGUUCCCGGGCCUUGUACACACCGCCCGU